rnacentral:lncRNA from 1 species
UAAAACCCCACGUCGCCCCUAAAACCCCACGUCGCCCUUAAAACCCCACGUCGCCCUUAAAACCCCACGUCGCCCCUAAACCCCACGUCGCCCCUAAAACCCCACGUCGCCAUUAAAACCCCACGUCGCCACUGAACCAAACACAACAAGUCCCCUAUGAAACCAAACAGAGCGUAGCCACUACGGAUGUUGAUGGCAGUCAUCUAUCAUACACUAGAUGAAGGGGGCCCCAUUUUAAUCCAGUCUUAGAAGGCAGCAUGAUUCAUCUGUGCACAGAUAAGCCAAGCAGCUAGCGUUUGAUCACCAGGCGUUGUGUGUGCUCUGCAGACAGCCCAGGUGACCCCACGAUUAGAAAUAGAACUAUGUACCCAUGGGAUUGCUGUUGACCGUUGUUCAAAAAUGUAUCAAUGGGAAAUGUAAGGUUAAUUAAUAUUGUACAUUCCUCUAAUUAUCUUCUUCGAUGAACACUCUGAUCAAUCAAUGGCACAAAUAAUAGAUUUUAUUUCCGUGAAUUGUCAAGUUUGAAAAAAAAAUGACUUUAUUUUCAUGGUUGAAAUAUUUGUAUGAUAGUGUGAGAUUUGUCUAAAUAAUUGUGAUUAUGUGGAUAUAAUGUAGUGUACAAAAUGAAACUCGUUUUUUAAAAAAUGCAAUAGCAGACUUAAACCACAGGGUGGCACUGUUGGCCACCAGAGGAGUACCUGACAGUAUCCGUGUGUUUCCUGCCUCACCCUGAAGACAGUGAUGAUACACACAGAGCACGCUGUGGCUCUUCUAAAAAAAAUACUCUACUACAUUACUCUGAUCUGAAAGAAAUGACAAGGUGGGUGGCUGGAUCCAAUCUGAAUCGACAAAGUAGCGCGGAACAUUCACUUUAUUGCUUGAUUGAAAUUGAAUGGCAACGUUCCCGCAUUCAUGGAGACUGCUGCAUUCACGGCAAACACUGCAUACAUGUAUGUCGGCUCAAUUGGAAAAUGACUCUAAACUUUUAACACAGAUCUGCUGCGAUACUUCCGCGAUGCAGAUUGAAUCCGGAUCUAUGGCAAAGUACUUUCUAAACAGUCCAGAUGAAGGAAAGAUGAUUAUGAGAGAACAGAUUUUUAAGUGACUGAGAAUGAGAUAGAGUCAACGUGUUUCUGGCAGCCAACCCGGAUAUGAUUUAUAAUGUUUGUUACAGGCUUUGACCAACCCAGAUAUGAUUUAUAAUGUUUGUUACAGGCUUUGACCAACCCAGAUAUGAUUUAUAAUGUUUGUUACAGGCUUUGACCAACCCAGAUAUGAUUUAUAAUGUUUGUUACAGGCUUUGACCAACCCAGAUAUGAUUUAUAAUGUUUGUUACAGGCUUUGACCAACCCAGAUAUGAUUUAUAAUGUUUGUUACAGGCUUUGACCAACCCAGAUAUGAUUUAUAAUGUUUGUUACAGGCUUUGGCCAACCCAGAUAUGAUUUAUAAUGUUUGUUACAGGCUUUGACCAACCCAGAUAUGAUUUAUAAUGUUUGUUACAGGCUUUGACCAACCCAGAUAUGAUUUAUAAUGUUUGUUACAGGCUUUGACCAACCCAGAUAUGCUGUAUAAUGUUUGUUACAGGCUUUGGCCAACCUGUUGUCAUUGCCUGAACAGCAUCUCUGUGUCUGUCUGUUAGCCUUUUGUUAAAGUCGUCUUUAUGGAGACAUUAUGUAGAGUUGCUAUGUAGCCCGUGAGCACUGUACCGCAGGUAGAGACCCUGGAGUUGAACAUCUGAUCAAACAGAAAACCAGCGACAGAACAUGUCUUGUCUGUCUCAGUGGUGCAAAAUUCUGGUUAACUUGAACAAAAUUCCCCAGGUUUUUCAGAAUACGGUUUGGAGGAUUCCCGUAUUGCCUGGUUUUUCUUCACUUCAUUCCGGGGAUUCCCGUAUUGCCUAGUUUUUCUUCACUUCAUGGGGAAAUGUUUCAACCCUAGAAGUGAUAGAUCUCCAAUGGUGGCAGCCAAUACACAAUACCCAGCACAGGAUAUAAAGUCCAGGCACAAACAGAGAACGCCUCUAUAGAUUUCAGUAAAGCACAGCAAUAAAGAGCACAUCUGAAGCACAACUGUGGAAGCACAAAGGAAGUGAGAUAACAGAAUAGAUUAUUUGCAUUGUUACCAACAAAUAGAGCACAGCAUUUACUCAUAGCAUUGUAUUGACUGGUGGAUCACAACCACAGGUUGCUAGGGACUAAAUGGUCAUGUUGGAAGACGAGCAAGCAGAUCUCUUAGCUACAUACCCAUACAGGCUACAGUACGCGUAUGGGCUAAUGUGUACAGCAGCAACUCACAGGUUGUAUGCCAAAUGGCAUUCUGUUCCCUAUAUAAUGCAUUUGGGACGUAAACACAGGAAACCUAAACUCUUUCUCCCUUUAAAAAAGCCAUGCUACGGAUUGUAUAGCACUUAAACAGACUAACAUGGUUCAUUAAUUAAUUAUACUAAAAGAUCAUAGAGGAAAUGAUUACCAAUUAGAGAGCUAGAAUCACUUGAACUAUUAUUGAUGGAAGGAGAAAGAGAGAGAUUGAGAGAGAGGGAGAGAGAGAUAGAGGGAGAGAGAUGAGUGAGAGAGAAAGAGAGAUUGAGAGAGAGAGAGAAAGAUUGAGAGAGAGGGAGAGCGAUGAGGGAGAGAGAGAAAGCCCCGGAGAGGAGGUAGAGAGAGAGAGAGAUGAGAGAGAGAGACCCAGAGAGGAGGUAGAGAGAGAGAUGAGAGAGAGACCCAGAGAGAAGGAGGUAGAGAGAGAGAGAGAGAUAUAUACAGAGAGGAACAGUCUAAAAUGAUACAAAAGGCACACAAAGUGGACAGAGACUAGAAGGUGUAUAUUGCACAUUGCCUUUAAUCAUUCAUUUGCCUAAAAUGACGUUAAAUUCCCUAAAUCACUUAUUGAGGUAAUGUGAUGUCAACUCCAGGGCCUGUAUGUAUUAUCACUGUCUCAUUACUGCCUUGUACAAGUACAAUAUAUUCAUCCUGUGUAGACUAACUCAAUUUCUCUCAAAUUACAGUGAUAGUGUAUUUAUAUAACAGUGAUAAUAUGCUUUAUUCUGUGAAAGAUCAAUAACCGAACUACAGUACUUAGUGGGGGAAGUGUAGGAUUCUACAACGUGAUGUUAGCUCACCCUGGUAGUGGUGUAGAUGCACCAUUCACUUCCAUUGAUUGUUAGCUAGCGGUGGCUAAAAGUAGCUAACGUUUGUAGAUUCUGUUUGGAGAAAACCGCUCCGUUAGGUACAGUUUCUCCUGGCCCGUAAUACGAAACCAUUUAACAUCAAACUGUAAAAUCCCCUAACUUCCCCUUUUUUUUCUGUAUAUUUACUCUGUAGAUGUUGAUGUACAUUCUGUCAAAUUGAAAAUGAAUAUAUCUAUCUAUAAAUAUAGUAGGAGUGACAGGGUGAAUACUUGAGCUGUAUAUAAUAAUUGUAUAUUUUUAGAUAUUUCCGAUUUUUCCGAUUUUUGUACGUAAUGUACCCUUAUUGUGUCUGUAGAUUUACGAUGUAAAUAUAUUAUUAGUGUGAGAUUGUUGUUCUCAAUCAAAAUAACUGGAGAGACUGUACCUUGAUGUGUGUGUGUGUGUGUGUGUGUGUGUGUGAGUAUGCGGCGCGUGUGUGUGUGCAUGUGUGAGUAUGCGGCGCGUGUGUGUGUGCAUGUGCGUGUGUGUGUGAGUAUGCGGCGCGUGUGUGUGUGUGCAUGUGCAUAUAUGCGGCAUGUGUGUGUGUGAGUAUGCGGCGCGUGUGUGCGUGUUUGUGUGUGAAUACGUGCGUGCGCGCGUGUGUGUGUACAUGUAGAUGUCAUGUACAUGUUGUUAAAACUAAUUGUGUGUUUCUUGAUUUCCACCUUCAGUGAUUUCAGCUUUACUAACUGUAGUCAAGUAGACGUGAACUCAGUUGUAAUGAUGUUAAGCAACCUAUCAGUGUUAUGUGUCUCUUCAGUUGCUCUUCAGGUCAACUUUCUGACCCCACAGAAACGGCAACAUUAACAUGGUCCCACCCCACCAAAAAAUACUGUGUGACAAUUCAUGAGCAUUAGUACUGUAGAAAUCUAUCUUUUUGUCUUAGACAAAAUGGAAAUAAAAGUUACCACUUGUAUGAACCACGUUAUACAGUGUGUAGGUAGUGUCAUUUAUUUUAUAGUAUAGAUAUUUCAUUUGA